AUAGCCGCAUAGGUCCUCAACCCCAAAACCCUUUGCACUUUUUGUUAUCCUUUCUUGCUCGCUUAGUUCGAAGUGAGACUUCAACACAGUUUGGUCACUCUCCCUUCACUGUAAGAUUCAAUGGUACCUGGACCUUGAAAAUAUGAAAGUAAUGAGCUUUUCUGGUAGCAUAACAAAACCUAGUUUUUUGAUUGGCCAAACGAAAAUGCCUAUUCUAACAUUUGGUCAUUGUAAGUUGAGUGCUACCCUAGCUCUUAGGAGGAUGGGGUUGAUUACGAAGCUCCAAUAUUCUGUUGCUGAUAGGACAUUUACUUCUGGUUCCAUGGAUUCGCCGGCGUCCACGACGGACGCCGGUCGGAUGAAUCGGAGGCGGGGUGGCUCCUCAUCGCUAUAUAGCCGUCCUAGUUUAUCUGAAAUGAAGAAGGAGAAGGCGGCAAUGAGGGAAAAAGUUUAUGAGUUCUUGAGGGCAAUUGGCAUUGUUCCUGAUGAGCUUGAUGGUCUUGAACUUCCUGUGACUGUUGAUGUUAUGAGGGAGCGCAUAGAUUUUCUUCACACUUUGGGGCUUACAAUUGAAGACAUCAAUAACUAUCCACUUGUUCUUGGCUGCAGUGUCAAGAAGAACAUGAUUCCUGUGCUUGAUUACCUUGGUAAAUUGGGAGUGAGGAAAUCCACGAUUACGCAGUUCUUGCAGAGAUACCCACAAGUGCUCCAUUCGAGUGUGGUUGUGGAUCUUAUGCCGGUGGUCAAUUAUCUCAAGGGGAUGGAUAUCAAACCUGAUGAUAUUCCUCGUGUUCUUGAGAGGUACCCUGAAGUGUUAGGAUUUAAACUUGAGGGAACCAUGAGCACAUCGGUUGCAUAUUUGAUUGGAAUUGGUGUAGGAAGAAGAGAAAUCGGAGGUGUCUUAACUAGAUACCCGGAGAUUUUGGGGAUGCGAGUUGGUAGGAUCAUCAAGCCUUUUGUGGAAUAUCUGGAAAGCUUGGGAAUUCCAAGGUUAGCCAUUGCUAGACUGAUCGAGCAAAGACCUUAUAUUCUUGGAUUUGGGCUGAAUGAGAAGGUGAAGCCAAAUGUUAAAUCUCUUGAAGAGUUUAAUGUUAGGCAAACAUCACUUCCAUCUAUAAUUGCUCAGUACCCUGACAUCAUUGGAACUGACUUAAAUACAAAGCUUUUCAAUCAGAGAAGUUUACUCAAUUCUGUACUUGAAUUGGAUCCUGAGGAAUUUGGCCGAGUUGUUGAGAAGAUGCCACAGGUAGUUAGCCUCAGCAGUGGACCGAUGCGGAAGCAUGUUGAUUUUCUUAAGGAUUGUGGGUUUUCCUUGCUGCAAAUGAGGAAGAUGAUUGUUGGAUGCCCUCAGUUACUUGCUUUAAACAUUGACAUCAUGAGACUUAGCUUUGAUUACUUCCAAAUGGAUAUGAAAAGGCCUUUGGAGGACUUGGUUACUUUCCCUGCAUUCUUCACUUAUGGUUUGGAGUCAACCAUAAAACCUAGGCAUAAGAUGGUUGUCAAGAAAGGGUUGAAGUGUUCUCUGUCAUGGAUGCUUAAUUGUUCUAAUGAGAAAUUUGAGCAACGAAUGGACUAUGACACUAUUGACAUUGAAGAGAUGGAAAUGGAACCAUCAUUUGACAUGAAUUCACUGACGCAACCAAGGAGUGAUGAAUCAGAUUUUGAUUACGAAGACAGUGAUGAAGAUAACGAGUAGAAUGAUUCAGUUUCUCCAAUAACUAGUUUAUCUGGGAAAAUUUUGAUAUUCUGUUGGAUGAUCUUUAUGCUGAUAGUUACAAUGAUGUUCCAUUGGAAAGGAGUUUCCUGCUCACAUAGAGGCCCUUAGAAAAGCUUAACGCAGUUAUGUGUUCCAUUGCAUCGGGAAUUAUGUAGGACAUCAUGUUUUGGAUGGAUCUGCUUCCAAACAUUUUCUAACAAAGUACAACUUUCCUUGUCCUCUUUAACUCUGGUUUUAUCACGUGUCGGUUAGCAGGUCCAGUAGGCUUAUAUAAUAUAUACUUAUGGGAGGAUCACUGGGCAUUUGAAUGGCAAAAAAACUUUGAAGUAAUUGCUAAAAUUUGAGCAGGGAGCUAUUAUUAUUUGCUAAUAUUUGUACUUGGAAACAACUUUAUGUAUGUGUGGCUGUGCAUGAAUGUGUUUGUCACUUUGAGCUACUGAAUCCUUU